GCCGAUAAAUAUGCACUUGUUCGGCCUUCUAAGCCGAGGGUCGGGGGUUCGAGCCCCUCCUGUCGCGCCA
rnacentral:tRNA from 2 species